GACGAACGCUGGCGGCGUGCUUAACACAUGCAAGUCGAACGGAAAGGCCCUGCUUGCGGGGUGUUCUCGUGGCGCACGGGUGUGUAACACGUGGGUGUACUGCGCUGUACAUUGUGGUAUGCCUUGGAAACUGUGGCUAUUAUAGCGUAUGAGAGCUCCUGCUGGUGGUGGGGGGAAGGAUUGUUCGGUCGGGGAUGAGCUCGCGGCCUAUCAGCUUGUUGGUGGGGUAAUGGCCUACCAAGGCGGCGACGGGUAGCCGGCCUGAGAGGGUGGACGGCCACAUUGGGACUGAGAUACGGCCCAGACUCCUACGGGAGGCAGCAGUGGGGAAUAUUGCACAAUGGGCGCAAGCCUGAUGCAGCGACGCCGCGUGGGGGAUGACGGCCUUCGGGUUGUAAACUGCUUUCGCUAGUGACGAAGCUUGUGUGACGGUACCUAGAUAAGAAGCACCGGCUAACUACGUG
rnacentral:rRNA from 1 species